UAUGAGGAGGCAUGGUUUGAGGCUUCGUUGCAUGUUAGAUAUGUCUGUUCCCAGACAACGAACUAGCUCUGCCGCCUCUCUUGCUGCAUCUUCAAUCUCUUUCUGGAACGCGAUUCUCAGGCUAUAUGGUGCCUGGACACAAAUAUAUCUAUCAUGAAACAGCUCAUAGGAAAUUCGCUCGCAUUCUGAUCCUGGUUACAAAUAUGAUUCUGUGGAGAAUAAUUAUAAAGAACACCAUGAAGAGCCAUGACCUCAUAUGUACAAUAUCUGAGGACUGCACCCACCUUCACAUAUUCUGACCAUGGAUAAAAGAUGUGGACGAACCUACCAUGGGGUGGCUCCCAUUUCGCCGAACUUGCCUGAAAAAUAAAUAAAUAAAUAAAUAAAGACAAACAAAUGAUAACACAAUCAUCUUCCUGUGUUGAAUGACUCUGGAAUUUGUAUCAAUCCUCAUAAAGAUAGUGGUGAGUACCAGUGAUUCUAUUUUUGCCGAGGUGUUUAAUAUGGAUCGACAUUUUCGAUAUGCAGGUUCAUCAGGAAAGUCGUCCAUCACAGUCUUUGUAAACUCGGGAUGUUGGCAUCCAUCAUCUUUUAGAUACUUCCCCACACACUCUGAAAAUCACUUGAUGAAAUGAGAAAGCAAAUAUCAUGCAUCACUGAAAUUUGAUUUAUUCUAGAAUAUUAUCGAUGCAAUAUUAUCGAAUUCUGUACCUUGAAGAGCAUCAGCCAGAGAGGUGAAGUGGCUAACAAUCUCCUUGUGCAACAGUUCCCCAGCCCAUAUAGGAAAGAUGAGCACAUUGACUGCAACUGCAACUAUAGCUCCAAUAGCAAUCGAGUAGAGACGGUCCAUGGCUGUCAUGAUGGGGUUCCCCAUACGAUAUCCAGAAACUAUGAUCAAACAGUAGGUAAAAAGUAUGACUCGAAAUCCAUACUCAUAUGGCACUAAAGAUGGCCACAGCUUCAUAAAUGAUGUCACAGUUCCUGUGUCAUUCAACAAGGUGGCUUAGUAGUAAGCAGGCAGAAAACCGAGGUUCAGCAGUUUGUCCUGACUUCAAGGCUAACUCUGCUAUGACGAUGGCCAAGGCUCCAGCGAGCAGGCUGCCUAGUGCUCGGUUGAAUCCUCUAUUAAAAGUUGCACCUUCACACAUAAUGCCAGAGGCAUGUUGAUCUCAAUGCUACCUUUCGCCCCAUUCAUUCUCCAAACAAAUGUUUGUUGGAAAUCAGGGACGACGAGGACAUAUUCUGCUGUUACCAAACAGACUCCCCCCAGCUUCUCCAAACUACAAAGCAGCAUCAAGAAACCAAAACCACACUGUAUGCUAAAAUGGGACUGUGAUGAUGAUAUUCUUUCAACUCCGGCUUACUGUCAGGGCAAAGAAACAGACUUGUUACGCUGUCUUGUUUGCGCGUUGAAUGUGCAUUAACCGCAGCUUCAUGCAUCAGCUUUUCAGCAAUUGGUUCCAUUGUAUUCCUCACCACAAUUCACAUAUAUUCAUGCAUAUGUUACAAUAUUCCAGCCAAUAUGUAAUUCAUUUUGCACUAGUAUUUUUCUGGUUACUCCAGAACUUUUUGUUUGGACAAAAAGAGGAAAAAAGUAGUGCUACUUUAUGUCAAAUGUCAAAUGUCAAAUGUCAAAUGUAAAUAAGAAUAGCAACAAAUGGUUGAAGAA